GAUGAACGCUGGCGGCGUGCUUAAUACAUGCAAGUCGAACGAAGCACUUUUGACAGAUCCCCUCGGGGUGAAGAUGAUUGUGACUUAGUGGCGGACGGGUGAGUAACGCGUGGGGAACCUGCCUCGUGCUGGGGGAUAACAGUUAGAAAUGACUGCUAAUACCGCAUAAGCGCACAGUAAGGCAUCUUACAGUGUGAAAAGAUUUAUCGGCAUGAGAUGGACCCGCGUCUGAUUAGGUAGUUGGCGGGGUAACGGCCCACCAAGCCCGCGAUCAGUAGCCGACUUGAGAGAGUGAUCGGCCACAUUGGGACUGAGACACGGCCCAG
rnacentral:rRNA from 1 species